CUCCUGGGUCUCCUGCCUCUCUGACCUGCCCACUGAUGCUCAGAUGUCCCGCACUCCCUUAAAGGUGGAUGUGCCUCUGAGUUCUAUCUUUUAGUCCUUUUUUCAAUAUAAACAUUUUCCCCAUGAGAUCUAAUCUACCUCCAUGGCUUCCAUCACCAUGUAUCAGAAGACACCUCAAAUGCAACACAUUGAAAUAUGUCUCUCCCUUCCCUUCACAAUCUGCUUCUCCUUCUACAUUGUUUCAGGAAGGGACACUGCUAUUCAUCCAUUUGUUGAAGCCAGAAACUGGGAGUCAUUUCAUUACUGUCCUCUCUCACACCCACCAUACCUAAUCCAUUUGAGCUAUAAUCACUUUACUUUCUAAAUACUUUUUGAAUCCAUUCACUUCUCUUUAAUCCCAUUUUCUUAAUUACAUCCCCUAGCCUCCAGAUUUGCUCUCCCUCAUCUCUAAGCCAUUUGGAGCUACUGCAAAUCUCAUCAAUUCACUCAUAUCGUCCCCAAUGUGUAUUUCUAAGCCCACUACUGCUAGGUUAAAGUCCAAACUUGCAAACAUGGUUUAUAAAGUUUUUCCUGAAAUUACCCUUUGCUUACCUUUUCAGCUACAUCUCUAGCUAUGCUUCACCUCAAACUUUAGAUCAAGUAUUCCUCCUAUUAGUUCACCUCUCUGUCAUAGUACUUGUAACACUGUAUUGUGAUUGCCUGGUUACUUAUUUGCCCCACUAGACAGACUGUCAACUCCAUCAAGACAAGGACUAUGUUUACAUUAACAGUGAACCUGGUGCUUGACAGUAUAUAGCUCACAGUAAUCACUCAAGUAUUUUUCGAACAAAUACCCUGGGUUAGUGCUUCUCACAUUUAAAGCAUAUUCAGACACCUUUAAA